rnacentral:rRNA from 1 species
AUUGAACGCUGGCGGCAGGCCUAACACAUGCAAGUCGAGCGGAUGAGAAGAGCUUGCUCUUCGAGUUAGCGGCGGACGGGUGAGUAAUGCCUAGGAAUCUGCCUGGUAAUGGGGGACAACGUUUCGAAAGGAACGCUAAUACCGCAUACGUCCUACGGGAGAAAGCAGGGGACCUUCGGGCCUUGCGCUAUCAGCUGAGCCUAGGUUGGAUUAGCUAGUUGGUGAGGUAAUGGCUCACCAAGGCGACGAUCCGUAACUGGUCUGCGAGGAUGAUCAGUCACCCUGGGACUGAGACACGGUCCAGCCUCCUACGGGAGUCAGCGGUGGGGAAUAUUGGACAAUGGGCGAAAGCCUGAUCCAGCCAUGCCGCGUGUGUGAAGAAGGUCUUCGGAUUGUAAAGCACUUUAAGUUGGGAGGAAGGGCAGUAAGUUAAUACCUUGCUGUUUUGACGUUACCGACAGAAUAAGCACCGGCUAACUCUGUGCCAGCAGCCGCCGUAACAC